UCACUUGUAAUGAUUGUUUUGCUUGGCCCAAUUUUACGUUACAAUUUUUUUUUUUUAAAACGUUACAAUUUGACCUCUCUUUUGGAAAGAACAAAAAAAAAACUGAUUAAUUUGACAAAAAAAAAAAAAAAAAAAAAAAAAAAAAAAAAACUGAUUAAUAUUAGUUGAUAUUUCAGUUCUUGCAGCCAUUAAUAGCCAAGUAGGUUAUAUCAUAUAUUAUGAUCUUAAAAAAAUCCCAAUUCCUAAUGUGAC
rnacentral:lncRNA from 1 species